rnacentral:rRNA from 1 species
ACUAACAAGGAUUCCCCUAGUAACUGCGAGUGAAGCGGGAAAAGCUCAAAUUUAAAAUCUGGUGGUCUUUGGCCUCCGAGUUGUAAUUUAGAGAAGCGUUUUCCGCGCUGGACCGUGCACAAGUCUCCUGGAAUGGAGCGUCAUAGAGGGUGAGAAUCCCGUCUUUGGCAUGGACACACCAGGGCUUUUGUGAUGCGCUCUCGAAGAGUCGAGUUGUUUGGGAAUGCAGCUCAAAAUGGGUGGUGAACUCCAUCUAAAGCUAAAUAUUGGCGAGAGACCGAUAGCGAACAAGUACCGUGAGGGAAAGAUGAAAAGCACUUUGGAAAGAGAGUGAAACAGUACGUGAAAUUGUUGAAAGGGAAACGCUUGAAGUCAGUCGCGUCGACCGAGACUCAGCCUUGCCUCGGCUUGGUGUACUUCUCGGCUGACGGGUCAGCAUCAAUUUUGCCCCUUGGAUAAUGGCGAGGGAAAUGUGACACCUUUACGGUGUGUUAUAGUCUCUCGUCGCAUGCAAGGGUUGGGAUUGAGGAACUCAGCACGCACCUUUGGGUGUCGGGGCUUUGCCCACGAUACGUGCUCAGGAUGUUGGCGUAAUGGCUUUAAACGACCCGUCUUGAAACACGGACCAAGGAGUCUAACAUGCCUGCGAGUGUUCGGGUGGAAAACCCGUGCGCGCAAUGAAAGUGAAAGUUGGGACCUCCGUCGUGGAGGGCACCGACGCCCGGACCAGACCUUCUGUGACGGCUCUGCGGUAAAGCAUGUAUGUUAGGACCCGAAAGAUGGUGAACUAUGCCUGAAUAGGGUGAAGCCAGAGGAAACUCUGGUGGAGGCUCGUAGCGAUUCUGACGUGCAAAUCGAUCGUCAAAUUUGGGUAUAGGGGCGAAAGACUAAUCGAACCAU